UUUGUUAGAUUUACUCAGUACCGGUUUCCCCUGUUUUGUUGCUAGAUGUCAAGGUUAAGGGGGAAUCCCUAGGUCAAAGGAGCCAUUCUUAGUGCAUUGAAGCAUAGGACUGUGGGGCAGAUGGAUUAAAUGAUGGGGAAAUGGCAAAGGCAUCCUGAAGCACUCUUUGGCUAAGAGGACUGUUGGCCCCACAAAGAGUUGUUUUCUUCCAGAAACUGAGUUGAAAACCGUGCUGUCUUCGGCUGCAUUGUUCCACUGAUACGCACCAGGAGAUCCCUCUUCCUGCCCUUCCCAGCUCCAUUAUUCCGUGACCGGGCCCAUAAUGGAGAUGGUAUCUAAAUUACAUCAGAAUGCAGCUUCCAGCCCCAAACAUCUGCGCUUGGUGGUGGUUGUUCCUGUGUUUACAGUCUUGCUGGUUUCCUGUUCGUGAACAUGGGCUGGGAGAAAUAUUCCGACUUCAGUCUUGGAAGAGGAGGAGCUUAGCUGUAUCAUUGGUGCAAACUGUCUGUGCCGAUGAGGCCAGGGGAUAUUUUUACAAAUUGGCUUUGCCUAUUCUCCAAGACCAGCUAUUUUUCCCUCCCUUUAAAAAAGAAAAAGUCUGAAUUGCAUUUAAAUUGCACAAAGCCUGACCUUUUUUUUCAUCUGCAAAACGACAAGUUUUUGCCUGGCUUAAUUUUUCUUGCAGAUUUUAUUUGUACUUUUCUGCAUCAGUGUAAGUUAACAACAGAGGCCCUAUGCUAAAAAGAAAGGAGUAUAUGUUCUUUUUAGAGAAAUUUAAUUUCAUAACAAAAUUAAGCAGAAAGUUCCAGAAUUUCUUAUGUAAACCCUGCCCCACCACAUGCAAACAUUCUCCCAUGGGCAUCCCUCACCAGGAGUGGUCCCUUGGUUAUCACGGAGGACAUGGCAUUGUUAUCCAGCACCCACAGCUUAUACUUGGGUUCACUUCUGUGGUAUGUGUGAGUUUGGACAAAUGUAUAGUGUGUCCACCUUUCCAGUAUCACGCAGAAUAGUUCAUUGCCCUGUGUGGAAAACUGAAAACUCCAUGAAGAUAUAUAUAUAUAUAUAUAUAUAUAUAUAUAUACACACACAUAUAUAUAUACAUAUAUACAAUAUGCAGAAUUUUGAGAAAAAAGAAGAAUAAAAUACCUCUGCUGAAUACUACUUUGUCCCUACCUUUCCACCCUGGCAUUGUAUAAAAACUUUUGAUUGUGUGUGACUACGUGGAUCUUACAGUGUUUCUAAGUGUUGACAACGAAUCUACCAGAGACCUUUCUUUCCUUUUUUAAAGUCUAAGAGCUGUUUUCUCCUCUGCAUACUUUCACUGAGGUGUCUGUCACCAUAGUACCUAGACAAUCCCUCAGGCAGAGAGAGACACGAGUGAUUAAAUUUCUCCCUGGUUUAUGCUCUGUUUGAUCCAUGCCCAGCAGGAUUUGAAGGAGUAAAAUAGAGUCCUGAAGAAUAAACAAGAAUUAUUGGAAUUUUAUGCUUGUAAAUUAUUGAAAUUGGGGGUAGUUAAGGGAGGAGGUAAAUAAUUUUCCUUUCUGAAAAAUUUAUAUUAACAUAAUAUGGGUUUGGGAUUGAAACUUCUUUACCCCAUCCCCGCCCUACACCCCUCAAAAAUCUUCCCAGACUUAGAGGUGAGAUCACAGCUUAUCUUAAGAGAAACUACUUAGACUGUAGUAAAUCUAAAUUAAUUGAGACUCCAUAGAUCCAAAGGGUUUUGUAAAUAAUGUAUAGAGUAGGUUCUUUUGCCUUUUCUAUUAAGAAGGGCUAUACUGAUUACUGGUAAAUAAACAU